rnacentral:rRNA from 1 species
UAAUACAGAGGUCCCGAGCGUUGUUCGGAUUCACUGAGCGUAAAGGGUGCGUAGGCGGUCGGGCAAGUCUGAUGUGAAAUCUCCAGGCUCAACCUGGAAAAGGCAUUGGAAACUGCCUGGCUGGAGGCUUGGAGGGGGGACUGGAAUUCUCGGUGUAGCAGUGAAGUGCGUAGAGAUCGAGAGGAACACCAGUGACGAAGGCGAGCCCCUGGACAAGACCUGACGCUGAGGCACGAAAGCUAGGGGAGCAAACAG